AUUGAACGCUGGCGGCAUGCCUUACACAUGCAAGUCGAACGGUAACAGGUCUUCGGAUGCUGACGAGUGGCGAACGGGUGAGUAAUACAUCGGAACGUGCCUAGUAGUGGGGGAUAACUACUCGAAAGAGUGGCUAAUACCGCAUGAGAUCCACGGAUGAAAGCAGGGGAUCGCAAGACCUUGUGCUACUAGAGCGGCCGUUGGCAGAUUAGGUAGUUGGUGGGAUAAAAGCUUACCAAGCCGACGAUCUGUAGCUGGUCUGAGAGGACGAUCAGCCACACUGGGACGGAGACACGGCCCAGACUCCUACGGGAGGCAGCAGUGGGGAAUUUUGGACAAUGGGCGCAAGCCUGAUCCAGCAAUGCCGCGUGCAGGAUGAAGGCCUUCGGGUUGUAAACUGCUUUUGUACGGAACGAAAAGCCCUGGGUUAAUACCCUGGGGUCAUGACGGUACCGUAAGAAUAAGCACCGGCUAACUACGUGCCAGCAGCCGCCGUAAAAC
rnacentral:rRNA from 1 species